AUACGGAAGGGGCAAGCGUUGUUCGGAAUCAUUGGGCGUAAAGGGCGCGUAGGCGGUCUCGUAUGUCUGCUGUGAAAGCGCACGGCUUAACCGUGCAGGGUCGGUGGAAACUGCGAGACUUGAGGCUGGGAGGGGCUGGUGGAAUUCCCUGUGUAGCGGUGAAAUGCGUAGAUAUGGGGGAGAACACUCGUGGCGAAGGCGGCCAGCUGGACCAGUCCUGACGCUGAGGCGCGAUAGCGUGGGGAGCAAACAGGAUUAGAUACCCCGGUAGUCC
rnacentral:rRNA from 1 species